rnacentral:lncRNA from 1 species
UGUUGGAGUCAAGAUUAUCAAAUGUAUAUUCUCAUUAGAGAAAAUCUAACAAAAUCACUCAAUUCAUAAUACAGCAACCUCCAGACCUGAAUGAGUUUGAUGAGAAAGCAUGGGAAGAAAUGCCAGAUCACUGUGCUCCCUGUGUUGAGACUGAAACAAGAAGGCCUGAAGCAGGGGAACAUGGCUGUGUAACGGGGGCAGAAACACCUGAACCUCCAGGUCCAUCAGGAGAAAACAGCAAAAUGCGAUAAGCUUUCAAUUGGCCUGGAAGGACACUGUGGCCCUGGGACAGAUGGACAGCCAUUC